rnacentral:rRNA from 1 species
AUGCCGCGUGAGUGAUGAAGGCCUUAGGGUCGUAAAGCUCUUUCGCCAGGGAUGAUAAUGACAGUACCUGGUAAAGAAACCCCGGCUAACUCCGUGCCAGCAGCCGCGGUAAUACGGAGGGGGUUAGCGUUGUUCGGAAUUACUGGGCGUAAAGCGCACGUAGGCGGAUUAGAAAGUCGGGGGUGAAAUCCCAGGGCUCAACCCUGGAACUGCCUUCUAAACUGCUGGUCUUGAGUUCGAGAGAGGUGAGUGGAAUUCCGAGUGUAGAGGUGAAAUUCGUAGAUAUUCGGAGGAACACCAGUGGCGAAGGCGGCUCACUGGCUCGAUACUGACGCUGAGGUGCGAAAGUGUGGGGAGCAAACAGGAUUAGAUACCCUGGUAGUCCACACCGUAAACGAUGAAUGCCAGACGUCGGGUAGCAUGCUAUUCGGUGACACACCUAACGGAUUAAGCAUUCCGCCUGGGGAGUACGGUCGCAAGAUUAAAACUCAAG